rnacentral:SRP_RNA from 11 species
CCUGAACCCGAACUCGUCGAAGAAACCCCGGCGGAAUCGGUGGUGGCGGCACUCUCUCCUGCAGAGAGGCGCAAGCGUGCGUUGGAAGCUCAAAAGGCGAGAUCCGG